UCAAUGGGCAUGAGUUUGAGCAAAUUCCAGGUGAUAGAGAAGGAUAGGGAGGCCUGGCAUGCUUCAGUCCAUGGGGUCACAAAGAGUCGAACAUGGCUGAGCGAACGAACUGAACUGAUUGAAUGGGAACCUAAAAGAGACACACCCAUUUGAUAUGAAUCAAGUAUCUAGGAAUCAGACUUUUGCCUAAGUGGGAUAUAUGCCAAAUGUUCAACCAUGUUUUGCUUUGUAAAGUUUUUUUUUUUUUCAUAAAAAUUGUUUAAUACAAGUAAGCUUCUAAAACCUUUUGAAAUGAUACAUAUUAUGGGCUGCAUAUUUGUACUCUCAGACUUCAUAUGUUCUAGCCCUACCCCCAACAUCAUGGUACAGUAAGCCCCCUACAUACAAACGAGUUCUGUUCUGAGAGUGUGUUCAAAGUCCAAUUUGUUUGUUAAAUCCAACAAAGUUAGCCUAGGUACCCACCCAACUAACACAGUUGGCUAUAUAGUACUGUACUAUAAUAGGUUUAUAAUACUUUUCACACAAAUCAUACAUAAAAAAACAAAAAAUAAAGCAUUUUUGAUUUUACAGUAUAAUACCUUGAAAAGUACGGUAGUACAGCGCAACAGCUGGCAUACAGGAGCUGGCAUUGAGUGAACAGGCAAGGACAGUUACUGGCUGGAGGAAGGAGAGGAGGUGGGAGAUAGUAGAGCCCAAGGAGUGUCAGCAGUAGGAGACCCAGGGCAAACUGCAGUUCCAUUCAAUCCUGAUGUUGAUCGCACAGGUUCUGGUUCCUUGCUGGAUUCAAUUCUGUCUACCCUCUUGAAGAGGAGGCUGAGUACUUACUAAAGAAGAGCUGAACACAGAACACAUUUCCCAUCUACUCCAGAGAAUUUUGAUACUCUGUCUUACAGAUAUUAUAUGGAGAAAGAAAUGGCAACCCACUCCAGUAUUCUUGCCUGGAGAAUCCCAUGGACAGAGGAACCUUGCGGGCUGCAGUCCAUGCGGUCACAAGAGUCGGACACGGCUGAGUGACUUUGACUUGACUACAGAUAUUAGAAAGCAAGAACUAACUUUGCUGGCAAGUUGUUUCCAACAGUGUAAAUAUGCCUCCACAGGGGUAAAGAAGGAUGGAAAUGGAGACUCUGUCCACCCUUUGAAAGGUUCUCUGCUUACCAGACAUUUUUGUGAUUGUUAGGCACGCUUCAUAUUAAUGCUUUCAGCUCCCUUUCCUUGGCCUGUAUCUCCGAGUAGGGAAGGACAUUUUGUCUGAGCUUUCUCAUUUUUAUUUCUUAGCAGUAAGGACUGAAAGAAUGCAGUCAUGGGGUUCUUGAUGUCAAAUGAGAAACACUUCUGUAGUUACAUUUUAUUCUGUUAACAUGUCCAGUGUUCACCAGCCUUUGUCUUCUUUGUCUAGCAGCCUGGGAAGGUGAUGGAACCAAACUGGUGGUUGGGUUGGUAAGACAGGAGGGGUUAUUAACCUCUUUUCUCUCUUGGUUUGUUCUGCAGUGGCUGAGUACCAGCCUUCAUGCAUCAGCAGGUCUUAACUUCAGGACCAUUGUAGAACUUUAGGAUGAAGCAGUAUCUGGACCAUAUUAAUACUACAUCUAAUACUAUAUGAGAGAAAGUCUGCUGCACUUGUUUUCCAUGCUUUUCUGCAUCGCAGUCAUCAACUCACCCUGUGAAUGGCCUCUUUAAUAUUAGAGGUUUGACCACUGGUUAUUGAAGGCUGGAUAUGAAUUUUGACAGAAAUCACUUUCCAUUCAAAGCUUUUGUGCACAAACAAAAACAUCAUUUUUCUCCAAGAGACUCCAGUUUGUCUCCCUUACCCCAGACUCCACCCACCAUCUAAUGCCUCUCAUAAAUAUUUAAACACAAAAGUAUUUUAACUUCAUGCACAACUAGUUAGAGAAGGGCCUGUUGAUUUUGUUACCUGGUGACUGACCUUUUCACUGCAGUUUCCUGAAGUUGCUUAAAAGACCAGGGUUGUGCUUCCUGAGUUCAUUUUGAUAGUUGGUGUAAAUAAGAGGGUCUCUGGAGAUCAGUUAGGGUUGCUUCUUUCUAAUUUAGAGAGAGCAGAACAAAGGACCUAAAAAAGGCAACCAAUCUCAAACCCAAUUUGCCCCUCCAUUUCUGCUUUUAUUGGAAAGCAAGUGUACUUGCUGAAAGUUUGAGGGGAGUAGGGAUUCCUGUGAAGUGCCUGUGAUCCUGGAGAUAAUAGUGUUGAGUCUUUUUGAACAGGAGAUACUCAUGGUUGCGGACAGUGCUCAUUAUUUGCAAGAAUUUCUUUUCCCUUCCCUUUUUCCUGUUCUAUCAAGUCUUUUCUCAGUGCUGUUGUUUGUGCUGACUGGUUCUUACCAGCUUUCUCUCUCAUCUCUUUGGAGUUUACUUGUUUGGGGUAAUAAAGUUCUCUCUUAAAAUUUA